GGUGGAGCGAUUUGUCUGGUUUAUUCCGAUAACGAGCGAGACUCUGCCCUGCUAUUUAGUGUCCAGAUUCUUGGGUCUGGGUAGCUUCUUAGAGGGAUAAGCGGUGUUCAGCCGCACGAGAUAGAGCGAUAACAGGUCUGUGAUGCCCUUAGAUGUCCGGGGCUGCACGCGCGCUACACUGGAAGAAUCAACUGGUUCCUGGGCCGAAAGGUUCGGGAAAACCGCUGAAACUCUUCCGUGACCGGGAUAGGGAAUUGUAAUUAUUUCCCUUGAACGAGGAAUUCCUAGUAUGUGUGGGUCAUCAGCUCACGCAGAAUACGUCCCUGCCCUUUGUAC
rnacentral:rRNA from 1 species